rnacentral:rRNA from 1 species
GCGUGGAGACAGGUGGUGCAUGGCUGUCGUCAGCUCGUGUCGUGAGAUGUUGGGUUAAGUCCCGCAACGAGCGCAACCCUCACCCCUAGUUGCCACCGGGUAAAGCCGAGCACUCGAGGGGAACUGCCAGCGUCAAGCUGGAGGAAGGCGGGGAUGACGUCAAGUCAUCAUGCCCCUUACGUCCUGGGCUACACACGUGCUACAAUGGCUAGUACAGAGGGAUGCGAGACCGCGAGGUGGAGCUAAUCCCAAAAAGCUGGUCUAAGUUCAGAUUGCAGUCUGCAACUCGACUGCAUGAAGUAGGAAUCGCUAGUAAUCGCGCAUCAGCACGGCGCGGUGAAUACGUUCCCGGGCCUUGUACACACCGCCCGUCACACCACGAAAGCUGGCUGUACUCGAAGUCGCUGAG